AGCGAACGCUGGCGGCAGGCCUAACACAUGCAAGUCGAACGAAGUCUUCGGACUUAGUGGCGGACGGGUGAGUAACACGUGGGAACGUGCCUUUAGGUUCGGAAUAACUCAGGGAAACUUGUGCUAAUACCAAAUGUGCCCUUCGGGGGAAAGAUUCAUCGCCUUUAGAGCGGCCCGCGUCUGAUUAGCUAGUUGGUGAGGUAAUGGCUCACCAAGGCUACGAUCAGUAGCUGGUCUGAGAGGGUGACCAGCCACAUUGGGACUGAGACACGGCCCAAACUCCUACGGGAGGCAGCAGUGGGGAAUCUUGCGCAAUGGGCGAAAGCCUGACGCAGCCAUGCCGCGUGGAUGAUGAAGGUCUUAGGAUUGUAAAAUCCUUUCACCGGUGAAGAUAAUGACUGUAGCCGGAGAAGAAGCCCCGGCUAACUUCGUGCCAGCCGCCGCGGUAAGAC
rnacentral:rRNA from 1 species